GAGUUUGAUCUUGGCUCAGGAUGAACGCUGGCGGCGUGCUUAACACAUGCAAGUCGAACGGAGAACCCUUGACGGAGUUUUCGGACAACGGAUAGGAAUUCUUAGUGGCGGACGGGUGAGUAACGCGUGAGGAACCUGCCUUGGAGAGGGGAAUAACACAGAGAAAUUUGUGCUAAUACCGCAUGAUGCAGUUGGGUCGCAUGGCUCUGACUGCCAAAGAUUUUAUCGCUCUGAGAUGGCCUCGCGUCUGAUUAGCUAGUUGGUGGGGCAACGGCCCACCAAGGCGACGAUCAGUAGCCGGACUGAGAGGUUGACCGGCCACAUUGGGACUGAGACACGGCCCAGACUCCUACGGGAGGCAGCAGUGGGGAAUAUUGGGCAAUGGGCGCAAGCCUGACCCAGCAACGCCGCGUGAAGGAAGAAGGC
rnacentral:rRNA from 1 species